UAAAAAAUAAAAAUAAGGGGAAGGUAGGGUGGCCAUCAUGAUGGUCAAGCAGUGACGGGCUGGGGCCAGGGUGACAGUUGGCAGUUGGAAUGGGGGAACUGUGAGGAAUCUGAGAAGGUUGGAAGUCAGCCCUGACCAGAGGGGAUGGGAUGUGAGAGACGGAUGUCAGGUGGCAUGAGGCAAGGGAAGAAUUUCAGAGGCAGGAAGAAAGUACACAUAAUAGCUCCCUGAGCAGAAACAGAAAUGGGAAGGGAAUAUGAUCUGAGAGAGAGUUUCAUCUGCCUUUACAAUGCCCGAGGCAGGGAUUGGCACACAAGGACAGGGUCUUGUCUUCUGGUAGCUUGUCUAAUACAGGACACAGGCAAGCUCACAAGAAACUGCCUCGUAGGGCUGAGUGAAAUUCGCUGAUAGAGCUGCAGAAUCACAUUCCUCAAAGACAGAGGAAGGAGCUUAACGGAGAGGCCUGAUGGGAUUUGGAGAGCUGCCUGUUUCCUCUGUGCUGCAGGAUGGGAUUGAGCAUGCCCCUGGCUGAGGAAGGAGGGCACAAGGACGCUGCGGCCAACAGGCCAGGUGAGAGGGGACCUCGGCAGCAAUCACAGAGUGGGAUGGCAGG
rnacentral:lncRNA from 1 species